rnacentral:rRNA from 1 species
UACGUAGGGUGCGAGCGUUAAUCGGAAUUACUGGGCGUAAAGCGUGCGCAGGCGGUUCGUUAAGUCAGAUGUGAAAGCCCCGGGCUCAACCUGGGAACUGCAUUUGAAACUGGCGGGCUUGAGUGUGGCAGAGGGGGGUGGAAUUCCGCGUGUAGCAGUGAAAUGCGUAGAGAUGCGGAGGAACACCGAUGGCGAAGGCAGCCCCCUGGGCCAACACUGACGCUCAGGCACGAAAGCGUGAGGAGCAAACAGG